rnacentral:sRNA from 1 species
UUAGAAAAAAUUCAGAGUAGUUUACUGGUAUAUUCCAUGGAGGAUAGCAGUCCACAUGUAACACCAGAGGAUUAUUCUGAGAUUAUUGCAGCCAUCCUUAUUGGAGAUCCAACAGUACGCUGGGGUGACAAAUCCUAUAACUUGAUUUCCUUUUCUAAUGGAGUAUUUGGCUGUAAUUGUGAUCAUGCUCCUUUUGAUGCAAUGAUUAUGGUGAACAUCAGUUAUUAUGUGGAUGAGAAAAUUUUUCAGAAUGAAGGAAGAUGGAAGGUAUGUUUGAGUAAAUAUUUCAUCUUUUUUCUCCUAAUAAUUUUAUAGAUAAAAUAUUUUUAAGUCUUCUCUAUUUUCAGGGUUCAGAGAAGGUACGAGAUAUACCACUUCCAGAAGAGCUCAUUUUCACUGUGGAUGAGAAAAUUUUAAAUGACAUCAACCAAGCUAAAGCCCAGUAUCUCAGAGAGGUAUAUUUUUCACUUUUCUCUUAAAUAAUAAUGAUUUUUUCUUUUAACAACCAUAUGUAAAAAUUUGGCUGUCAUCCAAGCAUGUCUGCACAAAACAUUUUAAAAUUAUGCCUUUAACACCUUUAAUUCUUUAUGUCUGGUGAUUACU